CGCCCCGGCCUCCCAAAGUGCUGGGAUUACAGGCAUAAGCCACAGUACCUGGCCAAAUUGUUCCAUUCUGAUGUGCCUGUUCCACAGAGGAUUUCACCAAAGUCACAUUUAACUGCUUCAGAAAACUUUGCACCUUCUACAAGACCCUAAUUUAGCUCAACAGUAUAUUUGUACCAUGUGAGAUUAUCAGCGCACGGCGGGGCAGAUAACUGGUGGCCGGGGAACACUCCGCACAGCAGUGAGUGGCUUGAGGGAGCCUGGGGUCAUACAUGAAGAGCCAGCAGGGGGCAUUCUCACCUGAUGGCAACUGCGGUUGCCUCAUGCACGCUCAUAACUGUGGGCUCUCAGAAUUUUUUUAAAUGCCUCAUUUAAGGACUUCUGAUAAACAAAAGUUAAAUUUUAAAAAAUAAACUGUGGGAGGAUUUUUUUAUUAUUUAUUUGAGUUUUUCAUUUUCAAAUAUUAUUUAAAUGACUGAAAUGGUAAGAAAAACAGUCUCAAUGAAGGUUUAAAACAGUACACAGGACUGACUGAUUAAAUAAACUAUCCUUCAUCCACACAAUGGAAUAUGGAGCAGCUAUAAUUAGGAAUGAGAAGUGUCUCUAUAUACUGAUAUGGGGAAAAAUAAAUAAGCAAACGAAAGAAGCAAACAGUAAUAUUUAUCACUGGUAAUUUUUAGGUAGGUGAUGGGGAAAUAGAUGACAGAGAGGUAGCUAGAUAGUAGAGCAUUAGUCAGCUGGGACUACCACAACAAAACACCAUACACUGGGUAACCUAAACAACAAGGAUUUAUUUCUCACACUCCAGGAAGCUGAAAGUCCAAGAUCAAGCUGCCAGUAGAUUCUGUUCCUGGAUGAGGGCUCUCUCCCUGGCUUGCAGACAGCUCACUGUGCCCUCGCAUGGUGAAGAGAGAGAACAAGCAGGCUCUCUGGUGUCCCUUCUUAUAAGGACACUAAUCCCAACAUGAGGGCCCCAUCCUCAUGACCUCAUCUAACCCCAGUCACCUCCUGAAGGCCCCACCUCCUAAUACCAUCACACUGGGGCUUAGCACCUCAACAUAUGAAUUUUGGGGAAAUACAAUUCAGUUCACAGUGGAUAGAUAGAUAUUAAUUGAUAUUAUCAAAAGAAACCAUGGGCAGAUAAACCCAAAACCAAACUGUUUUAAUGGUUAUCUAUUGGGAAGAAAAAGAAACAGGGUGAACGGGAAGUUACAGAAGCAAGAUUUCUGUGACUGUCACUGGAUAAAUAGAGAGUUUGGGAGGACGAUAAGUAUUUUAUGUGAUUUUUAAAAAUUAAAGUAAACUGAAAUGAAUGAGCCUUCCUGCAUAUAAAGUGUGUGGCAUAACCACAUAAAGCAAACAAUUACUUAAAGUGGCUUUAAAACACAGCAUUUUGACUAUACAUCCCAAGUGAGAGAUAUGCUACGGACAAUAAAAAAAGGAAAAGAAAAAAGGGAAGAAAUCAUAAACGGCAUUCAGUAGCCAUAUAUUAGUAUUGACAUUUUUAUUAAAUGACUAUGUUUCCAUCAUUGGGAACCAUAAUUUUCAGCAUAAAAAUGACAUAGCAUAAAAUCAAGGAAGUUUAAGUAAAAAUCUUGUACUCUUAAAAGUGAAUUGGGAAUUGCAGUAUGAACUCACAUUGUGUUUUACUCUUUAAAAAAAUACAUAUUUUCUAGUUCUGUCCACUGAAAAGACCCAGAAGCAAUGAAAACCCAGUAACAAUGAGCACACUUCCACGGCUGAACUCUCUAGAUAACAUUUACCAAUGAAAUUGGCUGAUUCUAAGUCUAGGGCAAAAAAUGUACAAAAGGAGACUGGAUACAAGUCUCUUAUUGUACCAGAAAGUGAAGGAGAAAUCAAAGACUAAUGAGGUCACGUUAAAGUGAUACAGGACGACACAGGGCCCGCCUGCAGCAGCUGGUCAGUAAUGAAGGGAUUAAUCCAUGACUGCAAGACUCGUAGGGAGGAGGGAGUGGGGACUGCAGGGAGGGUCCUAGUAAAAGCAGGUUGGGCCUCGAUGAGCACAGCAUGGACAGUGCGAUUUAAAUCCCAUCGCUUGUGGGCAGAAGGAGUGAGGAUGCCAGAACCUAGUUAUCCCCCACCAUCCCACGCUUUCCCAGGAGGCGGCGGCAGGAAGUGCAGUCUACAGUAAGGGAAAGCCGCCGGAGCUGGAGACAGGCUGAAAAGAGCAGGUAACAGCCCACAAGGAGCGGGGGCCCUGGCUGUCAGACUCAACUUGCAGGAGCGUCAAGUGCAGGUGUGGUUCAAGAACCGGGGCCGCUUGCUCUGCGGUAGCAACGGCACAUAACCGCAGCGAUGACCAGGGCAGCCAAGCCAGCAGCCGGGACCCCGGGAUGCUCUUGGCACGUGAUCCGACUCCCCUGCCUUUGCGGGUCCUGUACUCCCGCGAGGUCCAGGAUUGUGUAGCCCCUCCCCAACCGGCCCUUGGGAAUCUUCGCAGCAGCAGAACUCGCUGCCUCCAGGUCCGACCAGACCUGCAUAGGUAGAGAGUCCCCGCACAGGGCGGCCAGCAGAGCUACCCAGCUGCCCCAGGGCCUCGGGACCCCUGGGCCUGGGAUCCAGGCCAGACCCUGACUCAUUCGGUGACCUCACAGGACUCCUCCAACCCCAAGACCCUUUCAGGGACCCUGCCUCUAACUCCACGACAUGGGAGGCAGGGGCGGGCCUUUUGCAGGGGAAGGACUCCCCCAGCAGGACGUUUACUGAAUCUGGAGGGAGUCGCCCUGCAGAUAUCCCGCGGAAGCCGGAGGAGACCCAGGAGCGCCCCACCGGCUAGCUGCGCCUGCGGGUGCCCAAAGCGGUGUCCGGGCCAUCCUCACCGCAGUGACUCCUCCGCAGUGACUCCUCCGCAGUGACUCCUCCGCAGCGCCAACGCACUCCAUUUUCCUUCCACCCUGCCGGUGGAGGGCGUUUGCUUGUUCUCACUCUGCAGCCGCAGCCAGUGGCGCCGCUACGAAGGUCCCCGCCUCGCCAUCCGGGUCCUGCCUGAGCAUCCUUAUUGGUGCUCAGGGCUAGGCGUGCAUUGCUGCUAGGGGCGCAGAAAGGUUUAUCGUCGGUGGAUGCUGCCCGGGGCUUGAGUGGUUUUUAGAGGUCUUGAGUGGCUCACUCUCCAAUCAGCGCGUUCUAGAGACAGCGUGGUCAGCGUACUUGCUUACUUUCAGGAUUGCGAGACGUCUUUAACCCUUGCUGAUCGGCUGACGCUGCAGCUUCCUGUGGCUUCCUGCUCAUUUCCCGGAAGAUAGCACUGAUAGGGUAUUGGAAAUCCUUAUGUAAAGUAUCUGUUCACUGUUUUUGCCCAUUUUCUUGAUUUAUUUGAACUGAUUCUUCUAUUCUUUUGAAGUUAAUGUGUUGCAAUUUUCACGUCUAUGUUGUUUUUUCAUUAGUAGCAUUUCUCAACUCCUUGAUUUCUUGAAUUUCAUGUUGUCUAUUUCAGUAUGUCUUAAAUUAUCUGUGACGGUGGACCAGUUUUGGUUUGUCUGUUUGUUUUAUUUCAAUCAAUGGCACAUUGAAAUGCUCAAACAUUAAACUGUUGAAAAAAUUUAAUGGCAUUCGCAACCUAAGCCCACUCUCUCCCGCUUUUUUUUUUUUUUUUUUUUUUUCAGAGUCACUCUGUUGUCCAGGCUGGAGAGCAGUGGCACAAUCUCAGCUCACUGCAACCUCUGCCUCCCGGGUUCAAAUGAUUCUCCUGCCUCAGCCUCCCGAGCAGCUGGGACUACAGGCACGGCACCACCAUGCCCGGUUAAUUUUUGUAUUUUUAGUAGAGACGGGGUUUCCCCAUGUUGGCCAGGCUGGUCUCGAACUCCUGGCCUCAAGUGAUCAGCCUGCCUCAGCCUCCCAAAGUGCUGGGAUUACAGCCAUGCGCCACUGUCCCCAGGCUAAGCCCCAUUUUUUUAAUCAGUAGAGUAAGCAGACAUAAAAUACAUUGAGGCAGGGAGGCAGGCAGGCAGGCAGGCAGGAAGGGAAGGAAAAUACACUGUCAAAUUGACAUAAAAGUUUCUGAAAGUUGAGUUUUCAAUGCAUUUACUUGCCCAAUCACGAACUGAAAACAGAGUGUGCAGAUGGCACUGGUCUCAGGUCUCUCAAUACAACUUUAAAAAUACCUCAGUUUAUCUUAUUUUCCCGUUCUAGAGUUAAUAAUACUUUUUAUCUUUCUUGUUUAAGAAAUUUUUCACUAUUAAAAGGUAGUAAAAAAAACCAAAAUAUCAAAGAUACUAAAAGAUAUCAAAGAUAUUCAGCUUUUUCCCUAAAAUCUUUAGCUUUACCUUCCAUAUUAAAGCCUUUAAUACAUCUAGAAUAGAUUAUGACAUGAGUUGGGAUUCCAGUUUUUUUCCCAUGGAUUUCUAUUGUCAAUUUAUUGAGAAGCUUGUAAUUUACAAGAUCAUAAACCAAAGGUCUAUUAAUGUGUGGGUCUGUAUCAGAAGCCUAUAUUUUGAGUCAAUCAUCUGUAUGUCUAUGAUCAAAAACAUGCUGCUUAAUUACCAUAGCUUUGAAAUAGGUCUUGAUGUGUGGUGAUUCAAUUCUCCCACCUUAUUCUUUUAAAAUGUGGCUUGGCUUGGCCUUUUGCAUUUCCGUAUACAUUUUUGAAUGCAUAUAUGUAUACACACACACACACACACACACAUACACAUACUACACAUACACACACACACACACACACGAUUCAAUUUGAAAGGGCUCCCACUGCCCUAAGAUGGGAUCAUUGAGCACCAAAAACUCAAGUGAUUGAAAUGGAAUGAAGCAUAACAGAUAUAUAAAACUCCAUGAGUUAUAAUAACAUUUCUAAAACUCUUUGGUCAUCACUGGAAUUUGUUAGGACAUUAACACAUUACUCUAAAAUUGGUGAAGGGACAAAAAUCAAGCAUUCAUUCUGUCCUCCUCUUCAAAAUUAUAUUUUAGAGGGGCCAAAGAGUUGAUAAGGUAAAAAAUUUUUUAAGAGACAGGGUCCCACUGUGUUGCCCAGGCUGGCCCAGGACUCCUGGGCUCAAGGGAUCCUCCUAUCUCAACCUCCCAAGUAGCUGGGACUAUAGGCGUGCACCACCACACCAGCCAAUUAGGUAAACUUGAUGAAGAAGCUUGCAAUGGGGGGACAGGUGGACCCCCACUUGAACCUGCUAAUCAAUCUUAUCAUCACUAAAAGUAGAACAAAUAUGAUGAGUCUCACUGAUGGGACCCAUUAGAAAGUGACAGCGCCGCCUAGGAAGUGUUCUUGCCUUAAAAAGUGAACCUAAAUCUAAUCAAGUCUCUGGAUCUAACCACCAAUUUAUAGGAAAUAUGAGGCACAGCAGAAUAAGUAUUAAAAGCCCUCUAGGCUGCAAUCAGCAAAAUCCAGGAUAAGGGCCAUUCUACAGAUCCAAUGAACCAGUUUCUCCAGUGAACCAGUGGCAUCUACAAAUAAUAAAGAAUAAAGCAAAAAGAACAAAGGAUAUUUAAGAUAUACCAAACAAUGUAUGGGUCUUGUUUGGAUCUUGAUUGAGACAAAAUAACUCUGAAAGACCUUUUUGAGAAUUUGAAUGUUAAUUGUGUACUAGAUGAUAUUAAGAAACUAAUUUAAUGUUGAUAGGUGUGAUAAUGUGUGGCGGUCUUGUUUUUAAAAUGCUCUAGUUAAUUAAAGAUACAUACUGUGGUAUUUACAAGCAAAGUGGCAUACUGUCUGGGAUUUACUUGAAAAGACUCCAGUUUAAAAAAAAUAAUGUGAGAGAAGAGGUAGGUCAGGUAAAGAUGACAAAAUGUUCAUAAUUAUUGAAAUUGGGGAAUAUGUACAUGAGGUUCUUCAUUACAUUAUCCUCUUUUGUAUAUGUUUUAAAUGUCCCAUAUUAAAAGUAUUUUAUUGUUUUUAAAUUUUAAAAUCUAUAAUUUCUUUUUUUUAUUUUACUUUAAGUUCUGGAUAUAUGUGCAGAAUGUGCAGGUUUGUUACAUAGGUAUACAUCUGCCAUAGUGGUUUGCGGCACCUAUCAACCCAUCAUCUAGGUUUUAAGCCCCACAUGCAUUAGGUAUUUGUCCAAAUGCUAUCCCUCCCCUUGCCUCCCACCCCCUGACAGUCCCCAGUAUGUGAUGUUCCCCUCCCUGUGUCCGUGUGUUCUCAUUGUUCAACUCCCACUUAUGAGUGAGAACAUGCGGUGUUUGGUUUUCUGCUCCUGUGUUAGUUUCCUGAGAAUGAUGGCUUCCAGCUUUAUCCAUGUCCCAGCAAAUGACAGGAACUCAUCCUUUUUUAUGGCUGCAUAGUAUUCCAUGGUGUAUAUGUGCCAUAUUUUCUUUAUCUAGUCUAUCACUGAUGAGCAUUUGGAUUGGUUCCAAGGCUUUGCUACCGUGAAUAGUUGUGCAAUAAAUAUACGUGUGCAUGUGUCUUUAUAGUAGAAUGAAAGUCUGUAAUUUCAAAAGGCAAAUAAGAUACUAGGACAAAUAUUUGUAUUUUAUGUGAUAAUCACAGGUUAAUAUACAUUCUAGAUAUGGAGUUCUUAUGAAAAUGUUAAGAUACAAGUGAACACUCUGAGAGAAAGAUGGGUUAAGAACCUGAAAAGACAAUUUACCAAAUCACAAAUCACUAAUAAACUUUAAAAAAUUAAAGAGAGUCACUAAUUAUUAAAGGAAUCAAAUCAAAGGAGUGACAAAAUAUUAUUUUUAGAUCAUUGCAGUGUAAUGAGAAAUAAGCACUCACACAUUGCUGGCUGGCUUGUUCCCUUUCUGUAAGCUUUUUGGUGGAUAAUUUGGCAACGUGUAUCAAAAACCUUUAAAAAGAUGUACUCUGGGCUCCUGGAUCUAGAACUGAGGCAAGAAAUAUGUUUCCUGGAGCAUCUUAUAGUGCCAGAAAGUAAGAAAAUAUAUAUAUAUGCCACAAUGAUGGGGGCCUGGCAAGGGACGAAAGAGUCAAUUGAAAGAGCUCCCAUUGUGAAAGCUGGAACAAUUUAAGCAAAAAAAAAAAAAAAAAAAAAAAAAAAAGCAUUCAAUUAUAACCCAGAGUAUAAGAUCAAUAACCCUGGGUCCAUUCUGAUAUAUAAAUGAACAAUUGAAUACAUAAAUAAAUGAGAGAUAACAGAGAAAAAUCACGCAGACACAUUCCAAAAAGUUUGCAUAAUACCUCUGCCUCAAGAAGAUGGAACAUUAAGUUCCCACCCCAUAAGUGUGGGUGUGCGUAGUGACUUCCUUCCAGAGAGCACAGGGUGGAAAGGGGUAGAGAGGGAAAAACUAAACACUAUCUCAACCAGGUGACCAAGAUCAACACCAACAGUAAAAAGCCAUGUUGACACUAUGCACCCUUGAUAGAAGGGAAGAAAAUGUUAACUUUGCCUCAGUGGUCUUCAAUCCCAAAACACCAAACCCUAACCUAACCAUGAGAAAAAACACCAAACAAAUCCCACUUGAGGAACAUUCUGUAAAAUGACCUGACCCUUCAACACUAUCAAAGUCAUCAAAAGCAAGGGAAGUCUGAGAAACUAUCACAGCCCAGAGAAGCUAAGGAAAAGUGAUGACCACACAUAGUAUGGGAUCCUGGAUGGGGUCCUGGGACAGAAAAAGGGCAUUAAGGAAAAACUAAGGAAAUCUGAAUAAAGUAUGGAUUUCAGUUAAUGAUAAUGUAUCAGGGCCCAGCGCAGUGGCUCACGCCUGUAAUCCCAGCACUUUGAGAGGCCAAGGCAGGCAGAUUGCUUGGGUCCAGGAGUUCGAGACCAGCCUGGAUAAUAUGGUGAAACCCCAUGUCUAUAAAAAAUAUAAAAAUUAGCCAGGCAUGGUGGCACAGGUAUGUAGCCCCAGCUACUCAGGAGGCUGAAGUGGGAGAACCACUUGAGCCGAGGAGGCAGAGAUUGCAGUGAGCCAAGAUCGCACCACUGCCCUCCAGCCUGGGCAACAGAGCAAGACCUGGUGUCAAAUAAAUAAAUAACAUAUCAGUAUAGGCUCAUUAAUUGUAACAAAUGAAUCCUACUAAUAUAAGAUGUACAUAAGAGAAGAAACUGGAUGCAGGUUAUAUGGGACUGCUCCCAUACCAUCUUCAUAAUUUUCCUACAGAUCUCAAAGUGUUCUAAAAUAAAAUGGUUACAUUUUUUAAAUGUAUGCCCUUUGUUCCAGCAAUUCCAUUUUGGAAAAUUUAUCCUGAGGAAAUAAGAUAUAAACAGAGAAUAACUUACAGAUGUGACGUUUGUAAUAGUUAAAACUGGAAACAGCACAAGAGUGGACAAUAGGGGAUGAGAAAGCCACACAGCGCAUAGAAGAUGAUCAGUCUGAAGAGAGGGUUUUCAGACAUGCAAUUAACUGCUAUUCACUGUACUUCAUUUGAACUGCAAACUAGCAGUCUCUUUCCCCAGGAAAAAAGAGGUCAACUCGGAGGAGCCAGGGAUUCAGCCCACUCUGGACAACACUCAGAGCCAUGGCACCUACCUGUAUGAAAAAAAUUGUUAAGCAGCUGCCACUCCUGGUUACUGGCCUCUGCUCGGUGACUGAUGCACUUCUAACAUCCUUGUCCCAGGAAAAAGACCUUGUAAUGGAGAAAAAAGAUGGCAGGGAUCCUUUCCACGGAAUUUCGGCUGUUGUCUAGUGGACCUUCCAGGAAUUGUCUGAUUCUAUGGGAGUGCGCAACUUUGACUGUUUAGUUGGGCCAAUUGGCAACACUGUAGAGACGGAAACUAAUGUGUGGAGGGCUGAGGGUGAUACAGACAUUUUCUGUCCGUGGUAAUGCAAAAGGUGUUCACAGCAAUGCAAAUGGAUUUUAUCCAACAGGGGAGAUAAAUAUUUGAACGGGCUCUCUUGUUAAUUAACUAGUUAAUCAAAAUAUUUGACAUGUAUUCAUUGUAUAUUUAUAGGGGAGUCAUGAUCCUACCUUUUUGGAAAUGACCCUCUAGCAGUUUUAUUGGUCCUAUGAGAUACACAGUAGAUUCACCAGCCAGAGCCAGAUGAGCCGCACAGUUGCCAAAAGGCACUUCAGAUGCCACCAGAGCCUCAGCUCUGUCCUCCCUCACCUCCCAGGGUGACUUCCAAGCAGCCACAGAACUUUAAUUUUACUUACUCUCUGUUUCUCUAGUUUUAUUUUUCUAAUCUUUACUGAAUUUGUGUCUGUGGUUUUAUUUCUGGUUUAUUCCUGACUAUAAGUUAUUCCUUAUUCUUGACAACAGUGAUUGAGAAUUUGGUUUUUGGCCUGACCAUUUAGUCAUCUCUGUAGAUGGAUGACAUAGAUCUAAUUCCUUUCGAGUAAGAGACAACAGGAAAUCCGGUUUGUUGGUCCUUUCUUGUUUGUUUAUUUUGAGCUCCAGUCAGUUAGAAAUUUAGUGCCCGCUGCAAAGCACAGCGCUUUGAGACUUGGGAUUGGUAAGAGGGUGUGUUGCUUACUUCUGGCCUGUGGCUGAAUUUGCAGGGCCAAAGCCAAAAUCUCUCCAUAUGUCUUGAUCUGUGAUCCAUGUGUCUGCAAGUCUAUAACUGAGAAAAGCCUUGAUUCCUUGAUAUGUGAGUGUGAAAUAAAUUAAUAAAUUAGUUAUGUCUCUUAAAUCAAAGGAGCUCUGUUCUAACUAGUUUAUAGGAAAAAAGGCACUUAUAUAUCUUAUAUAUCUCAUAUUUCUAGCUUCUAGUGCUUUCAAUGUGUUAGGCUUUUUAAAAUAUCCUUCAUACAGAAACUGCUACCUUAAAUACAUUUUAUAAAACCAAGUUCCUGUAACUAAGGUAAAUCUGUGGCAAGUCAAACUAGCUUAAUAAUUUUGGUUUUUAAAAAACAGAUUGGUCUUGUCUUUGAUUUACAGUGUUAAGUAUAAUUCAAUUGUGUAUUUGAUCGAAUCUCUCAUGAAGAGAAUAAUCUGGUCUUCUUAAAUAGUUUAUCAAAAAGAUAACAUUAGUCUAAUACAAUGUCGCUAUUAUGAAAACUGAAUAUUGGUAUUACUCUAAAUUGAAUCACUAUUUAGACACAUCUGUUACCUCAACCUAUGUUUUGUAGUAUAAUUUAUCCAAUUAAAUAAAUUUCCAAGAUCUUUAGAUAACUUAGAACCUGGAAUCUUCAGAUAAAUCAGAACCUGGCCCUGAAUGGAGUUAAUUAAUAAAUAAUCAUCAGAUACCUAGAUAAACGAAGUAAGAUAUAACACUAAAACAUGGAUUGCUAAGCCUACUUUUAGGCUUAUCCACUUUUGCUUCUUAUUUUUAUAUUCUGCAGAAAGCCUGGAUCUUUGAGUUGUGUUGAUGGACAUAUUCAUGUUUGCCACUUGAAGGAGUAAGAGGCCCGUGUGGAUCUGGAGGCAAGUGGCUGUGCCCUCCUGCAAUCUGCUCACCUGCAGAAAUGCUCGCGUAGGGCAGCUCUCAAUUUUCUGCCACCUCCUCAGCUUUUUCUGUGAAAUAGAAGUUGGUUACUUUGGAUGAAAAUUAUCUUUCAUAUAGGUGGUUGGUACACGAAGCAAUAGUGACAAAGAAAUAAAACUCUGUGUGCGUGCUUCUGUUUUGUCAUGCAAUGAAAAGUAGUUUUGUUCCAGAAUAUGAAUGAACACAGUGAAUGAAGGUCUAAAGAAGUGAAUGUUAUUUGCCUUGGUUUAUAAUACCUGAGUCUGAAAAGAGAUAUGAAGUAUCUUAGAUCUUAGCAAAGUUUCCUCACUUUUGAUGGGCUUGCCGCCUUGGCUUACUGGUCACUGCCUUCAUCUACAGCAGGGGUCCCCAAUCCCCGGGCUAUGGUCCAGCAACAGUCCAUGGCUUGUUAGGAACCGGGCCACAUAGCAGGAGAUAAGCGGUGGUUACAACUGCUCCCCAUCACUCACAGUACUGCCUGAGCUCUGCCUUCUGUCACGGUGGCAUGAGAUUCUCACAGGAGUGUGAACCCCUAUUGUAAACUGUGCAUGCAAGGGAUCUAGGUUGUAUGCUCCUUAUGAGAAUCUAAUGCCUGACAAUCUGUCACUCUCUCCCAUCACCCCCAGAUGGGACCAUCUAGUUGCAGGAAAAUAAGCUCAGGCCUCCACUGAUUCUAUAUUAUCGUGAGUUGUAUAAUUAUUUCAUUAUAUAUUACAAUGUAAUAAUAAUAGAAAUAAAGUGUACAAUAAAUGU